AUUGAACGCUGGCGGAAUGCUUUACACAUGCAAGUCGAGCGGGGUGAUGGUGCUUGCACUAUCACUUAGCGGCGGACGGGUGAGUAAUGCUUAGGAAUCUGCCUAUUAGUGGGGGACAACAUCUCGAAAGGGAUGCUAAUACCGCAUACGUCCUACGGGAGAAAGCAGGGGAUCACUUGUGACCUUGCGCUAAUAGAUGAGCCUAAGUCGGAUUAGCUAGUUGGUGGGGUAAAGGCCUACCAAGGCGACGAUCCGUAGCGGGUCUGAGAGGAUGAUCCGCCACACUGGGACUGAGACACGGCCCAGACUCCUACGGGAGGCAGCAGUGGGGAAUAUUGGACAAUGGGGGGAACCCUGAUCCAGCCAUGCCGCGUGUGUGAAGAAGGCCUUAUGGUUGUAAAGCACUUUAAGCGAGGAGGAGGCUCUUUUGGUUAAUACCCAAGAUGAGUGGACGUUACUCGCAGAAUAAGCACCGGCUAACUCUGUGCCAGCCGCCGCAGUAA
rnacentral:rRNA from 1 species